rnacentral:rRNA from 1 species
GAUGAACGCUGGCGGCGUGCUUAACACAUGCAAGUCGAACGUGAGAGGUAGCAAUAUCUUGAAAGUGGCGAACGGGUGAGUAACACGUAGGUGACCUGCCUCGGAGCGGGGGAUAACAGUUAGAAAUGACUGCUAAUACCGCAUGGAUCCACUGGGAUGGGAAGAAUGGUGGAGAAAAACUCUGGUGCUUCGAGAGGGGCCUGCGGUCGAUUAGCUAGUUGGUGGGGUAAAGGCCUACCAAGGCGACGAUCGAUAGCUGGUCUGAGAGGACGAUCAGCCACACGGGAACUGAGACACGGUCCCGACUCCUACGGGGGGCAGCAGUGAGGAAUAUUGGGCAAUGGGCGGAAGCCUGACCCAGCAACGCCGCGUGGAGGAAUGAAGGCCUUCGGGUUGUAAACUCCUUUGUCAGGGGAAGAGGAAGGACGGUACCCUGCGAAUAAGUCACGGCUAACUACGUGCCAGCAGCCGCGGUAAU